GCCUGUGUGUAUCUCUGUGUGUGGCAGCAUCCUGGUGAACCCGCAGAGCAAUCUCACAAUCCCUGACAAGACUCUGGGCUUCUUCAUCGCCAGCAACGCCUUUGAUGUCAAAAGGGUUAGCCUGUUCUGCUUCGCUUGCCACAGUGACAUCACGGAACCCUGGAAGAUAACGGAAUGCAGCUGCCAUACCUCGCAAGAAUCAGAUAAAGUUGAGGUACCCCUGGACAGAGUGCGUUCCUUCGGAGUGAUUUCCCGCCCAGAGCGUGAAGAGAGG